CCGUCCAGAAAUACUUGUCGGAGAAAUAGAUGUAUCUAGGCUUAUUUUAGUUCUACAUACAUCUAUUUUUAUCCAUUUCUACGACAAGUAAUUCUGGACGG
rnacentral:pre_miRNA from 1 species